GAUGAACGCUGGCGGCGUGCCUAAUACAUGCAAGUCGAGCGAACAGACGAGGAGCUUGCUCUUCUGACGUUAGCGGCGGACGGGUGAGUAACACGUGGAUAACCUACCUAUAAGACUGGGAUAACUUCGGGAAACCGGAGCUAAUACCGGAUAAUAUAUUGAACCGCGUGGUUCAAUAGUGAAAGACGGUUUUGCUGUCACUUAUAGAUGGAUCCGCGCCGCAUUAGCUAGUUGGUAAGGUAACGGCUUACCAAGGCAACGAUGCGUAGCCGACCUGAGAGGGUGAUCGGCCACACUGGAACUGAGACACGGUCCAGACUCCUACGGGAGGCAGCAGUAGGGAAUCUUCCGCAAUGGGCGAAAGCCUGACGGAGCAACGCCGCGUGAGUGAUGAAGGUCUUCGGAUCGUAAAACUCUGUUAUUAGGGAAGAACAAAUGUGUAAGUAACUAUGCACGUCUUGACGGUACCUAAUCAGAAAGCCACGGCUAACUACGUG
rnacentral:rRNA from 1 species